UCGCUACAGUUGCGCAAGAAAAGCGUCUGCGUGAGGCGAUUUGGCUGUGAUUUGGAUGCAAUAUGUUCAAUCAUAAAGUCACUUCCGCGCAUCGACUGCUUUCUCGCCAGUUGCUCGGCUUUACGAGUGCAAGCAGCAGCAUUUUCUUCCACGGACUAACAGAUUAAAAUUUUAGCUAGAAAUCCACCUCCUGGAGGCAAAUUGGGUAUGCCCUGUUCCACAAGCCUCUGGAUAAGUGUCAUGAAUUCAAAGUCCUUUUUCUCUUCUUCUUCUGAAACUAUAUCUGUUGAAAAUAAAGAAGAACAAUUGUUGUUAAUAUAAAAAUGUAUUAAUUUGUAACUCAAUGUGCAUAUGAUUCGCAAAAGAAAUGAACUUUUUAUCUGAUAUAAUUGAAGCAUAACUCAUGAAAGCAUUUUGCAUGUUCAAUAUGUAUGUUUAUCAUCAAGUAACGUGUAGUUGUUGAACAACUAACAAACAGAGCCAAAUAAAAAAAUCAUAAACAUUUCGUACAACUAGUUGCCUAAUUUUGAAAGCUUGCAAAGAUAACGCAACAACACUUAAAAGUAAUCGAUGGAAAUAUUGCAAUAUAACGAAUAAACAAAUUACGAAACAAAAUUUAACAUACUAACAUGCCACUACUUAGGACUGGAAUUUUACGUGUAUUUUACAGUACAUUUCUUAUGGACGAAGAUCGAAAUAUACGAUUUGCACGAGUCAAAGUUUAUAAUACUCCGGUCGUAAGUAGGUACAUCGCAUCUUAUUAGCAAUAUCAAUAUUUUCUAUCUGCCUAAUUUUUAUAACAACUUUCCACCAUUGGAAUUGUAUUUCCUUCUUUAUCUUACAAAGUUAACUUUUUCUUCUCUACUAUUAUAAUUACGUAUGUAUAAUAACGGCAACUGCAAUAUUGUUUACCAUAAGAAAUGCAUUGCCGUUAUAAUGAAAAUUUAGGAUAUAAAAAUACAAAAAUGUGUUUUUUAAAUUGUAAUCGAUCGUCAAUUACCUACCUGUUAAGGUAAUUAAGUUGCUUAUUUAUCUUCUAAAAUUUCUUAAAAUAAAAGCAAAAAUGUCCUAACCAAACUAAAAUCUAUUGCAACUUAACAACUCCAAAGGUGGAACUAUAAUCUAAGUGACUGCACAAUACAAAAUAACAAAAAGUUCUAAAAUUGAAUACAAGAGUCAAUUUUUGUUUAUGAAUAACAAUCCAUAAUAUUUAUUGUUUUUGUACUGUACUCCUGUUAUAUUCAGGAUAUUUCAAACAAAUUAUUAUGAUCCUAGUUUAGAGUAUUUUAACUUUGAUAUGUAAAUUGUUACAUUUUUCACAGAAAAAUAUUGUAACUACAUUUUCAAUAAAUUUAUGCCCGAUCUACAA